rnacentral:rRNA from 1 species
AUGGUGAAGGCGCGGAUGACGACGGCGGACGUGGCGGCGGAGGUCAAGUGCCUCCGCCGCCUCAUCGGCAUGCGCCUCUCCAACGUCUACGACAUCACCCCCAAGACUUAUCUUUUCAAGCUGAUGAACAGCAGUGGAAUCACCGAGUCAGGGGAGAGUGAGAAGGUUUUGUUGCUGAUGGAAAGUGGUGUCAGGCUGCACACCACUCAAUAUGUUCGUGAUAAGAGCACCACACCUUCUGGAUUCACUCUCAAGCUGCGGAAACACGUUCGUGGCAAGAGGCUUGAAGAUGUUCGUAUGCUGGGAUAUGAUAGGAUGAUCCUCUUUCAAUUUGGACUUGGCAGUAAUGCACACUUUAUCAUUCUUGAGCUGUAUGCACAAGGAAAUAUCAUUCUCACAGAUUCGGAAUACACAGUGAUGACACUACUACGUUCUCACAGAGAUGACAACAAAGGAUUGGCUAUCAUGUCACGGCAUCGCUAUCCAGUAGAAGCCUGCCGUACUUUUGAAAGGACUGACUUUACAAAGUUAAAAGACACACUGAAGCUGUCUAAUACAGUCGAUGAUAAAGAAUCUUCCCAAGUUACACCUAGUUCAGCUGAUGCUCAGCAGCCUUCUGAAUGCGCCAAUGAUGGAGUGCCUGCUACCAAUAAACUGGAAGAACCAGCUAAUAGAACAGGAAAGAAGUCUGCUGCAAAAUUUAAGCAGUCAGGUUCAGAUGCUAAAGCCAGUAAUGGCACUCAAUCAAAUAAAGCUACUCUGAAGACACUUCUUGGGGAGGCAUUGCCUUAUGGUCCAGCACUAGCGGAGCAUAUCAUAUUAGAUGCUGGGUUGCUUCCAAGUACAAAGGUCGGGAAAGAUCCAGAGAGCAGUCUUGAUGAUCAUACUAUUCAGUCUCUAGUAGAAUCUGUUGCAAGGUUUGAGGACUGGCUUGUAGAUAUCAUUUCUGGCCAAAGGAUCCCCGAGGGGUACAUACUCAUGCAGAAUAAGAUGACCGCAAAGAAGAAUGUCACACCAUCAGAAGGGUCUUCUACUAACCAGAAGGUAUAUGAUGAAUAUUGCCCUAUCCUGCUGACGCAAUGUAAGUCAAGGGAAUAUGAUAAAUUUGAGACAUUUGAUGAUGCACUAGAUGAGUUCUACAGCAAAAUAGAAAGUCAAAGGGUGAAUCAACAGCAUAAAGCAAAAGAGGAUUCAGCAGUCCAUAGGCUCAACAAAAUAAAGUUGGAUCAGGAGAAUCGUGUGCAUACAUUGAGAAAGGAAGCAGACCAUUGCAUCACUAUGGCAGAACUAAUCGAGUACAAUUUGGAGGAUGUGGAUGCAGCAAUCAAAGCUGUUCGUGUUUCCCUUGCAAAUGGAAUGAGUUGGGAAGCUCUUGCUCGCAUGAUUAAAGAGGAGAAAAAGGCUGGAAACCCAGUAGCUGGUCUAAUUGAUAAGCUCAGUUUUGAAAAAAAUUGCAUUACUCUACUUCUUAGCAAUAAUCUUGAUGACAUGGAUGAGGAAGAGAAAACUGCGCCUGUUGAGAAGGUUGAGGUUGAUUUAUCACUUUCAGCACAUGCAAAUGCUAGACGGUGGUACGAAAUGAAGAAAAAACAGGAAACCAAACAAGAGAAAACUAUCACUGCACAUGAGAAAGCUUUCAAAGCAGCCGAGAAGAAGACACGUCUUCAGCUUGCUCAGGAAAAAACUGUGGCUGCAAUCACUCAUAUGAGGAAAGUUCACUGGUUUGAGAAAUUCAAUUGGUUUAUCAGCAGUGAAAACUACCUGAUUGUCAGUGGCCGAGAUGCUCAACAAAAUGAGUUGGUCGUCAAGCGGUACAUGUCUAAAGGAGAUUUGUAUGUGCAUGCGGAGUUACAUGGAGCUUCCAGUACAAUAAUCAAGAACCACAAACCUGACAGUCCAAUACCACCCUUGACAUUGAACCAAGCAGGAUGUUUCACAGUUUGCCACAGCAAAGCAUGGGAUUCAAAAAUUGUUACAAGUGCUUGGUGGGUGUACCCUCAUCAAGUUAGCAAAACAGCUCCCACUGGCGAGUACCUCACUGUUGGUAGUUUUAUGAUCCGUGGCAAGAAAAAUUUCCUUCCACCUCACCCCCUUGUUAUGGGCUUUGGUAUCCUCUUCCGUUUGGAUGAGAGUUGCUUGGCAUCUCAUCUAAAUGAAAGGAGGAUUAGGGGUGAAGAUGAGGCCCUUCCAGAAACCGAAGCAGAGCCUCGUCUAAAUGAAAGGAGGAUUAGGGGCGAGGAUGAGACCCUUCCAGAAACCGAAGCAGAGCCUCAAAAGCAGCAAAGUAAUCCUGAAUCGGAUGACAAACUUGCUACUGACAAUGAGAUGAGCAAAGGAACUCAUGAUAAUGAAUCAAGCAGGGAUCAUACUGGCGUUCACCAGAAUGAUGAUACCAACCAUUCUAAUCUGCCUAAUGUGGAUACCGCCGACAAAUCUCAACAAGUCGCUGAAACGAAAGCAGUGGAAAACAGUGGAACUGAUGCUUCCGUUUCAUCUCGACUAGAGGAUCUGCUUGAUAAGAGUCUUGGUCUGGGCCCUGCCAAGGGGUCAGGUAAAAGCUCUUUGCUUGUCAGCAGUCUUUCAAGUUUAGGAGAAGACACUGAUGAUCUUGAUGUGAAAAAAUCAAUGGUAAGAGAGAAACCAUAUGUAUCAAAAGCAGAGAGAAGAAAACUUAAGAAGGGUGAGAAUGCCUGUGAAUCUAGUGAUCCUCAGAAAGUUGUCAAAAAGCCAGAUAACCCACAGCAAGAAAAGGGCAAGGAUAAUACAAAGGCUGCUAAUCCUAAAACAAGUCGUGGACAGAAGGGCAAGCUUAAGAAGAUCAAAGAGAAGUAUGCAGAGCAGGAUGAAGAGGAAAGAGAAAUCCGUAUGGCUUUGCUUGCGUCUUCUGGAAAGGCUUCACAAAAGGACAAUCCUUCACAGGAUGGAGAAGAUACCACUGCAAAACAAUCAAAACCAUCAACUGGCGAAGACGACUCAUUAAAGGUUUGUUAUAAAUGCAAAAAGUCUGGACAUCUAUCUCGUGAUUGCCCUGAAAGUACAUCAGCUGUUGAUCCGACUGAUGUCAACGUUGGUAGAAGCAGAGAUGGUAUGGAUAGAAGUGCUACUCCUGUUGAUGGCAGCAUUGCCAUGGAUGAAGAUGAUAUAAAUGAACUUGGUGAUGAAGAGAAAGAAAAGUUGAUUGAUUUGGACUACUUAACUGGAAUUCCAGUGGCAAGUGACAUUUUGCUAUAUGCAGUACCUGUAUGUGCACCUUAUAACGCGUUACAGACAUACAAAUAUCGUGUAAAGAUCACCCCAGGCACUGCAAAGAAAGGAAAAGCCGCUAAAACUGCUAUGAGCUUAUUCAUGCACAUUCCUGAUGCCACGAACCGUGAGAAGGAACUAAUGAAGGCAUGCACUGAUCCUGAAUUGGUUGCUGCGAUUGUUGGAAAUGCCAAAAUCACCGCACCUGGCCUCACUCAACUGAAGCAGAAGCAGAAGCAGAAAGGGAAAAAGGCUGUGAAAAGUAACUAG